CGGCCUAAAAAAAUGUAAAACAACAACAGUUUGGUGUAUUAUAAUGGUACACGUAGAAAUCAGGGCGCUGGCAUUAAGUCAUUCCGCCGGACUAGUGAGCAAAAGUUUUCUUAUCGUGACAAAUUGACUUUUUAUAACUACUUUAAACUGUGUUAAGAUGUUCACCUUUGAUAUAAGUUUAUAAGUGGUGCACAGUGCGUGCAAAUGAUUACUACCAGUGCAACAAGAGGAGAGUAGUUUUGUAUCUGUACUUUGACCUAUGGUCACUGGUUGACCUACUGUUUUUUAUUCAUCGUUUCACCUUAAUAGAUGUGUAUGUUUUUUUUUAUUCGUCAAGCAAUAGAAGUCAUUUUGUAUUUUUGUUCAUAGUUUUAAUAUUUCGCUUUUAUUUUUGUACGGAAAUUUCCAACGCGCUGCUUAAAUUUGUGAAUUUGUGUUCCUAUUAUCAAUGGGAAAUAGGGCAAAAGUUAAACGAAAUGAGUUGAACAAAACUCCAUGAAUUUACAAUUCGAAUGGAAUUCAGAAGUAGCUGCGAAUGUUGUAAAUAUUGAAAUUCUGUUAGAAAUUUUCGACCAGACAGAGCUCAAGAGAGGCAGAGAGAGAGAGAGAGAGACUUUUAUGUUAACUCUCUCAAUCAAAGUCAAACUAUGAAAAACUACGUAGUAAUUAUUACAAACGUCACCUUGUAUAAUCAUUUAUAAUAAGUAAAAUAUAAUUGCUACUAAAAUUAAUAAAGAAAAACGUAAAAGAUUGAAAUCAAGCUAAGCGACUCUAAGAUUCAAUUUAUGUUUUAAUUAGUAUUAUAAGUAUCCUAAUCUGACUAUCUUAUUUGUAUAUUUAUCUGAUUAAAGCAGCUCGAUAUUCACAUGGACAUACAUAUAUAAAUGCCUUUGUCACUGUGAAUUGUUGCUCUUACUGUGAUAAGAGUAGCCGGCGACUUUUCAACGUGCAAUCUAAUCAUUACGUUGCAUAUUUUGAACGUAAAUACAAAA